rnacentral:rRNA from 1 species
GAACGCUAGCUACAGGCUUAACACAUGCAAGUCGAGGGGCAGCAUGGUCUUAGCUUGCUAAGACUGAUGGCGACCGGCGCACGGGUGAGUAACACGUAUCCAACCUGCCGUCUACUCUUGGACAGCCUUCUGAAAGGAAGAUUAAUACAAGAUGGCAUCAUGAGUCCGCAUGUUCACAUGAUUAAAGGUAUUCCGGUAGACGAUGGGGAUGCGUUCCAUUAGAUAGUAGGCGGGGUAACGGCCCACCUAGUCUUCGAUGGAUAGGGGUUCUGAGAGGAAGAUCCCCCACAUUGGAACUGAGACACGGUCCAAACUCCUACGGGAGGCAGCAGUGAGGAAUAUUGGUCAAUGGGCGAGAGCCUGAACCAGCCAAGUAGCGUGAAGGAUGACUGCCCUAUGGGUUGUAAACUUCUUUUAUAAAGGAAUAAAGUCGGGUAUGCAUACCCGUUUGCAUGUACUUUAUGAAUAAGGAUCGGCUAACUCCGUGCCAGCAGCCGCGGUAAUACGGAGGAUCCGAGCGUUAUCCGGAUUUAUUGGGUUUAAAGGGAGCGUAGAUGGAUGUUUAAGUCAGUUGUGAAAGUUUGCGGCUCAACCGUAAAAUUGCAGUUGAUACUGGAUAUCUUGAGUGCAGUUGAGGCAGGCGGAAUUCGUGGUGUAGCGGUGAAAUGCUUAGAUAUCACGAAGAACUCCGAUUGCGAAGGCAGCCUGCUAAGCUGCAACUGACAUUGAGGCUCGAAAGUGUGGGUAUCAAACAGGAUUAGAUACCCUGGUAGUCCACACGGUAAACGAUGAAUACUCGCUGUUUGCGAUAUACGGCAAGCGGCCAAGCGAAAGCGUUAAGUAUUCCACCUGGGGAGUACGCCGGCAACGGUGAAACUCAAAGGAAUUGACGGGGGCCCGCACAAGCGGAGGAACAUGUGGUUUAAUUCGAUGAUACGCGAGGAACCUUACCCGGGCUUAAAUUGCAGAUGAAUUACGGUGAAAGCCGUAAGCCGCAAGGCAUCUGUGAAGGUGCUGCAUGGUUGUCGUCAGCUCGUGCCGUGAGGUGUCGGCUUAAGUGCCAUAACGAGCGCAACCCUUGUUGUCAGUUACUAACAGGUUCCGCUGAGGACUCUGACAAGACUGCCAUCGUAAGAUGUGAGGAAGGUGGGGAUGACGUCAAAUCAGCACGGCCCUUACGUCCGGGGCUACACACGUGUUACAAUGGGGGGUACAGAGGGCCGCUACCACGCGAGUGGAUGCCAAUCCCCAAAACCUCUCUCAGUUCGGACUGGAGUCUGCAACCCGACUCCACGAAGCUGGAUUCGCUAGUAAUCGCGCAUCAGCCACGGCGCGGUGAAUACGUUCCCGGGCCUUGUACACACCGCCCGUCAAGCCAUGGGAGCCGGGGGUACCUGAAGUGCGUAACCGCGAGGAGCGCCCUAGGGUAAAACUGGUGACUGGGGCUAAGU